rnacentral:rRNA from 1 species
UACGUAGGUGGCAAGCGUUGUCCGGAUUUACUGGGCGUAAAGAGCGCGCAGGCGGUCGUUCAAGUCGCGUGUGAAAGCCCCCGGCUCAACUGGGGAGGGUCACGCGAUACUGAUCGACUCGAAGGCAGGAGAGGGAAGUGGAAUUCCCGGUGUAGUGGUGAAAUGCGUAGAUAUCGGGAGGAACACCAGUGGCGAAGGCGGAUCUCUGGGCCUUACCUGACGCUCAGGUGCGAAAGCUAGGGGAGCGAACAGG